UAAACCACCACUAGACAAGACCAGGGAAUUUAGAAUGGGAAGGUCUAUGAUAUCAUGGUCCCCAUAGCCAGUCCUACACCAUGCUUUGCACAGUACAUUCUGCUCUUUUUAUUGGGGUUCUCUGUUCACAAGAGAUGUGCAGAGUUGUCAUUUAUGAGAGCAGAGCACCUUGGGUGUAAAUGAGUACCAAGAGUGUCAGCUGUCAAAGGCCUGGUGAGGAGAGUCUGAUCAAAAUCCAGGUCCAGUUUCACCAAAGGAAAUGAUAUGACGUUGGACACUUUUAUUGGAAUCUCUCAUAGUUGCAGAGUUCACAUAAGCUGAAAAACACAUCAUGCUUAUGCUCCAGUGUCACAGAGCUCAGAAUCCCCUUCCCCACAGCCACAACCAGACCCAUCAGGUCACAGCUGCCAAGUAGCCUCAAAAAAUCUCAGUGGAAAAGAUUAACAAAUGAGGAUUCAAAUCUUAAAAUUUUUACAAGCCACAAAUAUUGCACACACAGACAAAGUCUGACUACGCUGUUUUGGAACAUUGUAACAGUAUAAUCAGCAAUCAGACUUUGGGAAAGGACCUACACUGCCUGAAACCAGUGAUAUUGCAGGUCUGUGUUGAGCAGCAUGUCAUCUGCUGGUGAACUCAAUGGAGUCAGAAGAAGACUGUCAUCUGUUCAACCCUGCCUACUAUCCCUACAAUCUUCUUUCAGACUGACAUGGAUCAUAUGUGUUUGCAUAUUUAUGGAGCCUGAUGUACUCGAGACACAACAGAGCUUGUGCAGACUGAACUUCAAUGCAUGUGCUGAAAAAGCAGUGUUCAAAAUGAGUCUUAUUUCCAGUGCAUGCACAAAUCAUUUGUACAGUGGAUCCCAUAUGCUAUAAAUCUCCCAGGCUGUGCCUGCACACUAUAGCACAAGUAAGCACUAGAGAAGUGGCUGUGUGUUCUAGAUUUGUGGACAGGCAGACACUGAGAUACUUAGAAAUCCUUGACAAAUGGCAAAACCCCAGUAGUUCAGAAGGUGAUUCCUGAAAACAGUAACCAGCUGCUGAACUUGGUAAAGCAAGAGUGUGCAAUGCCUGGCAGAGCUGUGCUGCAAACUAGGUUUUUUUAUGGUUCCAAUGCAAGCUCAGUCAUAAUGCCAGACUGCAGGGUAAUCAGGGAAUAAUGACCAUUUACAUUACAACAAAACCAAUUUAGAUUCUUAGAUAUUUUCAGAGUGCUUGGAAUCUGUUUAAACAUUAUAUACACUAAACUGAGAAUAGGAAGUCUGAGGGGAUGUAUUGGACUAGAAACCCAUGUAAGAAAUGAUGGAGAUAGGUGUAACUAAACUCCCACUGAUAUCUCUGCCUCAUCUGGGUGGGGUUCUCCACUCUGUGCCAAAUUGACCUGACCUUACUUUAUACCUAUUAAAUGCCUUUUCAUCUGCGUUUUUCUGACUGACCAGGUAGUCAACUGAGUGAAGCAGUUGACUCAGGAAAAAUAACUCCCUGUCUUGCCUUUGAACCCAAUAUUUCCUUUUUCCAUCCUGGAGAAGUUUUAAGUUCUAAGACUGAAAAAUCCUGUGCAAGAGCAAGAAAAGUCACCGGUGGAAUUCCCAAGCACUGCAACAUGCAGAGAAAUGAGACCUACCAAAGCAAGCCAAGAAAAAUAGUAGCAGGAGCCUAAAGAAAUAUAGAUUCCAGAUUAAGUAAAAACCACACAUAGGUUUUGCUUAACAAAAACCCCCAGAGCUUUAUUUAAAAGCAGCUCAUUAAAUACAAAUGUUGCAACAGAGUACAUGAAAAUGUAUCCACAGAGGGACUGAUUCAGCUUUGUUUGAAGUCAAAGGGAGGAAAACAGAAGACCCGGUAUUUAGGAAAGAAAAUCAAGAAAUAAGAUCACCCUUGAGGCAAGAAACCUGAGUGUAGGUUAGCCUAAGAAUGCUGUAAACAAAGAGAAAAGCCUCAGUUUUGAGGUAGGCUUAGACACCAGUCUUUCAUUUGUCUCCCAGUCCCCCCCGUGUUUUCCACCUAUGGCAUAACAGUUGUUAUCCCAUAACAUGGCUGGAUGUUUGAUUAAGCAAGAAAUAAAAUUUAAUCACCACCUAACAGAUAGUUUGAUAUUAGAUACAACUCUGUCAGCAGCUCCUGCCCACAUUUGUCAAGAUUUUGCCUCAUGUGGUUCUUAGCGUUGUAUCCAUACAAGGUGUUGGCCAAUAAAGACAAGGGGAAGUUUGCCAUGAUUUUGAAGGAGUCAGGAUCUCCCCAGUACUGAUCACAUGGCAGUGUAUUCAGCAUGACAGCAAAAGUGAGGAUACUUUAAAACUCCUUUAAUAUGUGCAAGGAGUAUUAACUAGUCAAUGGUGAAUGCACUCAAUGCCUUGUCUUUGUCAACACACAUCUAUCCUUCAAAAGGCACACUCUGUUGCAUAGUUUGGUUUCUAAAAUGCUCAUACUUCUCUGUUUUUGUCAUGUGACUGGUAAAUUAGCACUGUUUUACAAUCUCUUAAAUGGGCAGAUUAAAACUAUACGCUUGAAUGCUGUUCCACUGAAAUUGAUACAAAAACUUUCCUGGAUAUUGCAUAAUACUGGGGUUUCAUUCUGCCUCAGGGGCAGUAUCUGAACACUGUGUCUAACAGUUGUGACUGUUGACUGGAAGACAGUCAAAUUUUUAUUAACUUCAGCAAAUAUUUACAUUCUACAACUGCAUAAGAGCCAUUGUUAUAUCCCUUAGGAAUCUAGAACCAGUAUUUUCCUUAAUAGAUGGGUCAAUGAUCCCUUUAGCUCUGUAUUUGACAACGGCUAAUACAUAUAUUUGCAGAAAAAAGGUCAGGAAAAAUCAUGAACAGAACAUAUGUUUUCAUGGUAUAGCUUACCAUAAUAUCCUGGUUAUUUGCAAUAAGGGAACUUCCAGGGUCUUGGUUUCAGUUAGACAAUUGUUGAAUGUUAAUCAAAUAAAAUUUUAGAAAAUACAGUUUUAAUUGAGUCAUAGAAAUGUGGAGGUUGACUGGUCCAUUCUCACUCAAAGGAGGACUAUAACUUGUCUUACCUUUAAGCCCUCCCUCAUUAUACAGGUUAAAACAGCAACUUUAUUAUUCUCUCAGCUUUUUCUUCAGGCUGGACAAACUUCCUGACAUGCUUCUACCCCAUCACUAUGUUUGUGGCUCAUACUCCACAUUCACUGUGACCUCCACCAUGAGCCUUUCUCAUCAGUGCUGCUACUCAGUGUAUGGGGUAAUCCUGCUCCAGGUGCAGAACUUUGCACCUCUGCUCUUACAACUGUAUGAAGUUUCUGUUAGCCCAAUCAUCAAGUUUGCAAAAGUCAUCCUGGACUGAAUCUCUACUCUUUGGCAGGCCACCCAUUACCUGAUUUAGUGUAUUGUUAGUAGUUUUCAUCACAUUUAGUAAUUAUAAUUGUGAAUUUGCCAUUGUGCACCACAAAAGGGAUAUUGGAGCUUUCCCCAAAACAUUUCAGUGUGACAAUACCAAACAACUGUGAAACAUAUAAAGAGCAAAUAGCCCUUUUUUUUGAAAAAUCUGGUGUGGCUUUGAAAUCACUGCCAUCUCCAUAGCUGUUUUCUACUCUCCUGCUUGUUCAGAUCACCAAGUCAAAUUAGCAUCAGAACACAGGUCGUGUUGCCACAUUAGGCUAAGUUUGAGACAGGAGCCACGGCAUCACCUAGGAUUGGAGGAGAAACAGACACACAGCUUGCUCUGUGAGCUGAGCUGUAAGGGCUGUAAGUCCCUUGACUGCAAGACUAGCAUGAGCGAAGUGAAAAGUAUAAAGAACACUCAAUGAAUUUGUUAUUUUCUUUGGCUGAAGACAGAAUUGGAUGCUCAUCUAAGGCACAAGAGAAGGCAUUUAAUUUUAACUAAGUCAUUUAAUAGAAAAUGCUGGACUUUGAAAUUGUAAACCAGAUUAUAUUAAUAUUUUUUGUGGUUCUAAAAAACCAGUAACAUUUCCAUAUCAGUUUUUUGCUUCUAAAAUGGAAUAUCAUGUAUUAGUACUUGAAACAUAUAUAGAAAGAAGUAGUCAGUUAUUAAGUACUGUGAAGACAGUGUUAGCAAUAGCAGGGCUACAUGCCCACAUCAGCACAGGCACUACUGCCUUGUCUUAUGUUAAGGUAUGGCCUUUGUCAUUUGCAUAUCUGUGUAUAGUCAGCCUGUCAGAACUCCAUUAAUAACUCUGCAAUUUUAUACAACAGCUUGUGAUAAAUAGAUAGGCACAUGCUUACAGGAUUAGGCUGUGAUCUGGAAUAAAGACUCAUUAGAGCAUCUGGAAGAAAUGCAAAUUUUUUUUACACAAUAGAGGAUUUUAAUAUUUCAAAAUUUGGAAUGAAACCAAGAAGCAUUAAGUCUUUUCAUGGCAGGAUGCCUCAGCUCUGGGGAAGCCUGUUAGCCUCACCCCCACAUGUCUGGGGAAUUGGGAUUGCCAAGAAGCCACAAAGUGGAGGGUCCUUCCUUCCCAGCUCUCAGCACUCUGUCAAACCCAAGGCAAAGCACUCUGGAAGCUCAAGAUCUCCUAGAACCAGCCAAACGGCUGUUAAGAAGAGAACUGGCAGGCUCAUUUGUCUUGGAAUCCUGCCUAGAUUCCACUGGAAAUUGGUCAAAAAAUGGAAAUUCUUUUGUGGAACAUUUUGAUUUCAAUGAAUGGCAUACCCUGAUGAAGAAAUGUUUAAUCAGAAAUUUUCUAGCCAAAUUGUUCUCUGUUGGAAGUAGAUAAAGCUAUUUUUAUGGUUGGUUUUUUGGGGUUUUUUUUUGUGGGUAUUUUUUUUAGGAUACUUUUUUCUACUCCCACAUAGUUUGGUAGGAUCAGGUUAAUAAGCAAAGCACUCUGAAGAUUCUGUGCCAUUUGAUUCUGAGGUUUUGCUCCAGGAACCCCUCCCUCGAGCUGAAAUCUAAGUUCCAGCUCCAUCAUUCAGGCUUCAGUUACUGAAAUUGUUGUCAAGUGAAGCUGAUACCAGAAGAUAAUGAAUUGAUCUCUACUUCCACAUUUCUUAAAUGUCCCUAAAUAAUGCUCUUAAGUUUAGAACAAUUAAUUGAACUAGAAGCCUGCCUCAGAUUAAAGACAGGCAUUAAUACCAGAUUAGUCCUAAAUACAGGAAAGGGAUAUUUCCUAUGGAAAUCCUGGUAUAUCUUUCUGUAAGCAGUUUUUAUUCACUUAGAGAGCUUCUAAUAGUGCUACAAGAAAUAAAAUCUUGUAGCCCCAAAAGCAGAUUCAAAAAUGUAGGAUUUUCUGGUUAUUUCAAUUCUAAAACGGUAGUAAGUAAAAAACCACACUGUGACAGUAAAUAUAUUUUAUUGGUAGGCUGGCAAAUGUCAAACUAAUGUAAUUUAUUGCUGUGAAUUCAAUGAGAAUUCUGUUAAUGAAGAAGAAAUGUUUCUUCAAACACCACAAAGACCAAAUAUCUUUCCUCAGUUAAUCAUCAGAGGCCUCAUGAUGAUAAAGGAAAAUAAAAUUAUUUAGGUGAGUGAUCUAACCAAGUCAACAGGCCAUGCAGAUAGGAGAAAUGUGGUGGCUGUAAUAUGGUAGGAGGGUUGUGGACUCUGUCUUUUUUGAGAUUUUCAGGUGCAAUCUUGGCAGAUAAGACCUGAAGAAUAUUUCCAUGGCACAGGUGCAAUACUGCUGGAAGAAAAAUGCACUCAUCUGUGUAAUGCCAAAAUUCCUGUGCAGCUCCCAGCAGUCUAUCCUGUCCUGGUUCUAGUAAAGAACACUGCUCCCACUGGCACUCCUGAUGAUGGAGUAUUGCAUUGCUAAAUAAGGAGUUACAACUAAUCUGUAAGAGCCUGUGAGUGUUUUAGAGAACAGGAAUAUCUUCAAAAAGAUCUUGACAGAGAGCAGAAAUGAUGUAAAAAAAGCUACAACUUAGAGUUCAGAAAAUCAGCUGCAUAAAUAUAGGACUGGAAACUCUCAGCAGGGUGACAGAUCCACAGAUGAGGAUGUAGGGGUCAUACACAGCCACAGACAAGCGUCAGUAAAUGAAAUUGCUGUGGCAAAAAAUGGAAGAAAACAUCAUGUAAGAGUACUGUGUGCCAUAGAUAAUCUGUGUUGGUGAUGCCUAAAUAGGAAAGGUGUAUUGAGGUCUGGCUACCAUGUUUCAAAGAAAUUGUAAUCCUGAGAAGGAGACUGAAAGUCUGUAAAACAUUAUCUGUGAGUAAGGAUUAGAGGGAGUGUGACUGUUUUGUUUAGGGAACACUGAGAGAAAACAGAAAAAAAAUCUUCAAACAAGAACAGCACAAACAAGAAUAGCACAGGCAGAGCAAACCUGUGGUUCUCUGUACGUGAUCACUGUAGAUGAGAGGAAGAAAUGAAGAUACUCUACAGCAAUGAAGGUUUAGGUUCGACAUUAGGAUCAUAAACAUAGAUAGGUAAUGGCAUGGAUGAUUCAGAUACCAGACUCUGCCUCACCAGAGUGAGUGUGAAAGAAAGUUUCAUGAUUCUGAUGGGAAGUAGAAAGGUGAAUUAGGAGACCACCAGAAGCCCCUUCCAGCUUCUUCCUGACAUCUAUGAAGACUAUCUGUAUCUUUAUCUGAUCAACCAAUCAGUACUAGCAAAUUCUAAAAGGAGCUGAUUCAGGGACAAUUCAAUCUGUUUUACUCAGAGAAAUAUCUUCAGUGAAUUUGUAACAGAAAUACAGCACUUCCAGCAGGAAAGUACAAAAAAGAAUACUUUGUAAUGCAAAUCUGUUACAGUAACAAUUCUGCCUAGUCUAAGUGUCGUGACUUUUAUUUCAGUACGUCCUGCCAAGAAACUAACUGUGCAACACCAGAACAGACUUUCACUCCUCCAGCAGUUUCCUUUCCUCUCCCUUUAUGCUCUGUUUGCAAGAUAAAAGAUUGCAAGGAAUAAAAGUUUAGAAUUCAAAUAAUUCCUAGAUUAUUUUAAGUAGUUAAUAGAUCUUCCUUUCAACAAGACAUAUUGCUGAAAAUUUAAAAAAAAAAAAGAAAAAAGAAAAACAAAACCAGAACACCCCUCCCUCUCUAAAAAAACCCAGACAAUCAAACAAAAAACCCUAUCCCACAAACCAAUGAACAAAUAAAGAAAAAAGAAACAAAGAAGAAGAAGAAUAAAGACUACAUUCAGGCAAAUACAAAUGCCAAAACCCAAAAUUGCUGUCUGUUUUGUUUUAGGGGUGUUGCUAGAAGGGACUGUUAGCAUUUUAUUUUGGAAGUGCAAGACAUUUUGUGUACAUACACUGCAAGACACGUAUGCAAGUCACAUUCUGUAGAACUAGUGAGGUUUUCUACAGAGACACAGGUCAAAAGACAGGCCAUGGCCUGCUGUGCAGACCUGAUGGAAGUUCAUGCUUUGGAGAAGUUUCCCUUCCUGUGGAUGUUGUGCACCUCUGCAUUUUUAGAGAGGGGUGUGAGGGGGCAUGGGGAUGCAGGAGAUUUUUCUGUCUGGACAAUCUACAAGCUAGUAUUCAAGUUGAAACUUGAACCCAGGUCUAGCAAACUGGGUGAAUAGAUCCAGCAAAAGCAGAGCACAAAACGGAACUGUACCAAAGGUUUUCUGCCUUGGAAUGACUUACAAGCUGCAUCUUCUUGUACCUCAUGAGCUCUUUCUUUCCUUUGAUGUUUGUACACAACAUUGCUGCAAAAC